AUGGACCCGGGUCCACUGCGGUUGUGAGCGCGCCGUCCGCGCCCACCUGACCGCUGCUCGCGACGUUGUGUUAGCC
rnacentral:sRNA from 1 species